rnacentral:tRNA from 1 species
GGGGUUGUGGCUCAGCGGUAGAGCGCUCGCCUAGCACAUGCGAGGAUCUGGGUUCGAUCCUCAGCACCACA